GAGCUCAGUCAUAGUUGAAGAUCCUUUGAGUCUGUACUGUGCAAACCUGAAAAAAAAACACCUGAUUCCACCUCAUGGAGGUUUUAUCCACUGCCUUGGCACAAAAGUGCAAUGCAAGCUUUCUUUUGAAGUCCACUAGGAUUUCCUUAAAUUUAUGAUCAGAUAGUUGCAAGCAAUGAAAUUAUCAUCUCCCAUGUGAGAGGAGACAGCAUCCUGCACAGACCAUUUCCAGCAAAGGUUGUUUAAGACAACCCUUUUUAUUUUGCAGUGCAAGAUGCUGGAAGCACAGUAGCUUUGAAUUUCUUCAGUUCAGCUAAAGAGAGAGGGGAAUAAGCUAUAUUCCAAAUAACCUCUGGACUAUGUACUUGAAUUAAAGAACAUAAAGGAGCGAGCAGCGCCAUGUAAGCAGCUGUGGACUGGCAUGAAGAUAGAUGGUGUCUGGGACGAGACGGGGCAAAAAGAAAAGAAGCAAAAGGUUUUUUCCAUUGCGGCAGAGCUCUGUCAUGGACGUGGCGUCGGGAGCUGUGGAGGCUGUGCCUGUGGGGAGGGUAGGUUGUGGGGUCUCAGUGCCUUGGGGCAGGGAUUUCCUAUCUGCUGUUGCUCUGGAAAGGGAGCUCCACUGCUGUUCUCCACGCAUGUGCAAGGACCUGCUGCUUCUUACAAGCUUUUGCCAUCCAAACUCCUCCAUGCCUAAGGACACCUGCUGGGCCCGGGGGCAGCAAGGUGUGCACUUGGCUUUGUUCACGAGGAUAAUCUCCUUUUGCUCUGCCCAUUGGGCUUUGAGCAAACCUACUCCAUCCCCCAGGCUCUUUCCCUCAGGUUUAAGGAUAUUGCUUGUGCUCCUGCAGUCUGGAAAUAUUUGUGAGGAUCUUGGUUGGGCUGGAGCUUAG
rnacentral:lncRNA from 1 species